rnacentral:rRNA from 1 species
GGGGCAGCAAUGCCCUGAGAGCGGCGCACGGGUGCGUAACGCGUAUGCAACCUGCCUUAUACAGGGGGAUAGCCCAUGGAAACGUGGAUUAAUAUCCCAUAGGACUUAUAGAUCGCAUGGUUAAUAAGUUAAAACUACGGUGGUAUAAGAUGGGCAUGCGUCUGAUUAGGCAGUUGGUAGGGUAACGGCCUACCAAGCCGACGAUCAGUAGGGGUUCUGAGAGGAUUACCCCCCACACUGGUACUGAGACACGGACCAGACUCCUACGGGAGGCAGCAGUGAGGAAUAUUGGUCAAUGGGCGAGAGCCUGAACCAGCCAUCCCGCGUGCAGGAUGACGGCCCUAUGGGUUGUAAACUGCUUUUCUGCCCCAAGAAACCUGAUUACGUGUAAUCAGUUGACGGUAGGGUAGGAAUAAGCAUCGGCUAACUCCGUGCCAGCAGCCGCGGUAAUACGGAGGAUGCAAGCGUUAUCCGGAUUCAUUGGGUUUAAAGGGUGCGCAGGCGGAAUGAUAAGUCAGUGGUGAAAUCUCUCGGCUCAACUGAGAAACUGCCAUUGAUACUGUCGUUCUUGAGUACACUUGGAGUGGGCGGAAUGUGUCAUGUAGCGGUGAAAUGCUUAGAUAUGACACAGAACACCGAUCGCGAAGGCAGCUCACUAAGUUGUAACUGACGCUCAGGCACGAAAGCGUGGGGAUCAAACAGGAUUAGAUACCCUGGUGGUCCACGCUGUAAACGAUGAUCACUCGAUGUUGGCGAUAUACUGUCAGCGUCUAAGCGAAA